rnacentral:rRNA from 1 species
CGCAAUGGGGGAAACCCUGACGCAGCGACGCCGUGUGAGGGAAGACGGCUUUCGGGUCGUAAACCUCUGUCAGGAAGGAAGAACCUCUCAAGGCUGAACAAGCCUUGGGACUGACGGUACUUCCAGAGGAAGCACCGGCUAACUCCGUGCCAGCAGCCGCGGUAAUACGGAGGGUGCAAGCGUUAAUCGUAAUCACUGGGCGUAAAGCGAGCGUAGGCCGUCUUUUAAGUCGGACGUGAAAGCCCUCGGCUCAACCGGGGAACUGCGUUCGAUACUGGGAGACUUGAGUCCUGGAGCGGGUGGCGGAAUUCCGGGUGUAGGAGUGAAAUCCGUAGAUAUCCGGAGGAACACCGGUGGCGAAGGCGGCCACCUGGACAGGUACUGACGCUGAGGCGCGAAAGCGUGGGGAGCAA